rnacentral:rRNA from 1 species
UACGUAGGGGCCUAGCGUUGUCCGGAAUUAUUGGGCGUAAAGAGCUCGUAGGCGGUUCGGCAAGUCGGAUGUGAAAUCUCCACGCUUAACGUGGAGGGGCCAUUCGAAACUGCUGUGACUCGAGUCCGGUAGGGGAGUGUGGAAUUCCCGGUGUAGCGGUGAAAUGCGCAGAUAUCGGGAGGAACACCAGUAGCGAAGGCGGAGCACUCUGGGCCGGUACUGACGCUGACGGAGCGAAAGCGUGGGGAGCGAACAGG